GACGAACGCUGGCGGCGUGCUUAACACAUGCCAGUCGAACGGGAAGGCUCUAUCUUUCUGGGGUGCACGAGUGGCGAACGGGGGAGGAACACCUGGGGGACCUGGCCUUUACUUCCGGGUUAGCCUGGGAAAAUGGGUGCAAUUCCGGAUAGGUCCAUGGGGUGCCUACUGUGGUGGAAGGAUUUGUCGGUGGGGGAUGGGCUCUCGGCGUGUCAGCGUGUUGGUGCGUUACUGGCUUACUAAGGCGGCGGCGGGUAGCCGGCCUGAGAGGGUGGACGGGCACAUGGGGCCUGAGAGACGGCCCAGAGUCGUACGGGAGGCAGCAGGGGGGAGUAUUGCGGAAUGGGGGGACGCCUGAUGCGGCGACGCCGCGUGCGGGAUGACGGCCUUUGGGUUGUAAACUACUUUCACCGUCGACGAGGGGUUUUUGACGGUAGAUGGAGAAGAAGCACCGGCUAACUACGUG
rnacentral:rRNA from 1 species